AAUCGCGUACCGUUGCACAGUCGUGGC
rnacentral:miRNA from 1 species